UAUAUUUGGCAUCAAAUAUGCAUGAGGCAGCGUUUAAGUCGCAAAAAAGAGUGUUCAAGGGGCAAUAAAUUUUUGUAUUUUGAAGCUGCAGCUCCAGACUGUUUUUAGUCUGUGCUAAAUUUAAAGAUUGUUUCGCUCUGUCUGCCCCAGAAUUCGCAUUUGCAUUUGCAUUAGGGCCAAUAUAGUCGUUAAAAUGCUCAAGUUACGCACAGGCCAUGAAAAUCGCAUUAAAAUUAAUUUGGCACUCGUCUGAAAGCCCUUAAAUAUCCGCAUCUAAUCCGCCGGAUAAUGGCAUCACACGUCAAGGUGGCAACUCUAGCGGCCAAAAAAGCCUUCACUUCUCAUUUUACGCAACCGAGUUUUCUAUCUUUUUUGGCCCAGGAAUUUAUGUCAAAAGUUUCGUUUCUUGUUAUUUUUAUUCCAAGUCCUGGGCGCUGUGCCCAUUUCAUUCAUUUAUUCUGUCCGCCUCUUUCUGCCUGCCAUUAAAGUUACUUUUGUGGAGCUUUUGGCCUGGUUGUCAACGCAUUUCUUUGCUCAUUUCACUUGACUGCUUAACGGGAGGAAAAUAUGGGGAAGCCAGGGGAAAAUCAAGGGAAAAUCAGUGAGAGAGCGACAGUGUAAAGGACGAAGAAGUUCAGCCUUCUGCACUUAGGCAAAUUGCCAGAUGUUGUCCUGUUCCACUGAAUUAUCCUGCUGAAUACUUAAAGUUAACAUUUAAAUAGCUAAACUGGAUCAAAUACUUGUUGUAAAUAUAGUAAUAUACUUAAUAGAAAACGAAGCGGCGCCAUUUUGAUCCUAUCAAUUACUGAUUAAUCGGGACGUUUAAAAAAGGAAUGUCCACGGUUUCUUAUAUUUCCGAUUUCGCCUUUUUUAUUGUAGGACAUUAAGAAUUCACGAAAUGUUAAGUGCAAUUAAUGGGGCGAACGCAAAAGUGGUAAAAAGGCGAAACGGCCAACCGACGGCAGCAACUUGCAACUAAUUAAAUUAUCGUUAAAGAAGGCACACGGAGGAAAAGCUGAAAGAAAAAUUUCUUAUAAUUGUUGGAAAUUAAAAAUAAUAUGCAAAAGGAGCGGCGAGUGCAAAGGCAGCACAGUGAAAGGCUAAAAAAUUCAAUUUCCGCUCAGGGCAUGGUCAAGACUUUACAUUUCUAUCCCAACUAAGAGCUAAAGGAGCCAAAAGGACUAACGCAACAGAAGCACCCAAGUUUUUAUUUAUGUAUUAAUGAAAAUGUGGACAUUAACUCAGAGAUUGAAGAACUUUGCUCUAAGAACCAAAGAGCCAAGUUUUUAAAUGUUAAACAGCAAAGGUUGCAUAUUUAUACCAUUACUAAAUAAGAAAUAACACGCUGCAUUGUUAAAGGAAAAUUUACUGAUAUUUAAAUAUGCUUAAGUAAAGAAGACUUAAAUAAAUUGAACAAAUAAGAAUACGAAACUGUAAAGUUGUACCACAAAAAAUGCACAAGAAUAAAUUAAGUCGGCAAUGGGGUGAAGCAAAGAGAAAAUCGCAUGUCGCAGCUGUUCCAAGGCAAAUAUCGAAAGGUGGCAAAAGGGGAAAAGGGGGCAGCAGGGGUUAAGACAUCGGCAGAUGGGGACACCAUAUAUCUACCUACUGUUAUUUCAUUUCAACUUUUGCAUGACAAUGCGGAAAAGUGGGAGAACAAACUAUAAGAAGCUGCAAACGAGAAACUCUCUAUGGAGAAAAAAAGGGGCACAAGAUUCGCAUCCAAAGUCGAGGAGAUAUACAAGUUGUAUUU